AGAUUAAAUCCACCAUUUAUCACACUUUUAAACAAAAUAACUCAAACCCUAAUUCAUUUUUCACAAAAAUAGCCGCACCCUCAUCUCCUUCUCUUCUUCCUCUUCAUCUCUUUCUCUCUAUCAACGACGACGGAACCCCAGCGCCGCCAACCGUCGAUGGAACCCCAGUGCCGCCAGCCGUCACUGCUCCAGCUUCCUCCGUUAAGACGCCGCCAACCGUCGCUGCUCUAGCCGGCAGCCAUCUUUACUAACGCCGACAACACCACCAGCCGGUGAAACAACCGUCCCCAGCCAGCCGGCAACCUCCGUUUAGAGGUAAACUCCAUUAACUCUGUUAAGAUUAACAUACAAACUAUCGAGAUAUUGAGCUAGUGCUGGUGCGAGGAGGGGGGCAAUGGAGUUGCUCUACUAUGUUGUGUUUGGUGCGAUGGCUGUUAUGGUGGCAGUUCUUGAGCUGGGUGGCAAGACUAACAAAGAUCGGAUAACAACUUCACAGGCUUUUAAUUCCUUUAAGAACAAUUACAUUCUUGUUUACUCUCUUAUGAUGGAAUCGACUUUCAAACAUUCACAGAAUCGACUUUUGCCGUAAGGGUUCUUCAGGUAUGAAAUUCAUCAUCAAAAGUCAUUGUGGUAAUUUUAGCUUAUUGAUGUAAUGUGGUAAUUUUAGCUCGUUAUAUAAUUAGCAUAUUGAUUUGAUUUUUGAGGAGGUGAACGUAAGCUGAACUUGGGAUAUGCUAUUGUUUUAGUAACAUUUUUACCAUUGAGGAAUGUCGCCGAACAGGUUGUGGGGAGUUUUUUAUUGCGGGUAUAAUUGUGUUUGAGUAGUUGUGGGGGUUGGUCUUGGAGGGAAAGACCGUUAAUAUGGGAGUUGACGUUGAUCGCAACAUGUUUUGGGAAGGCCAAACAUAUAAGGUCAAGGUGGUACAAGAAAUUAGUUUCAAGUAUUUCAAACUAGUGGUAUAAUUAGCAUUAGAAGAUGAUGAGGAAUUGUGUCGAACAAGUUGUGGGGACUUUAUUAUUGUGAUUAUAAUUGUGUUUGAGUAGUUGCGAGGGUUUGGUCUUGGAGGGAAAGACUGUGUUUUCCAUCUCGGAUGAAUCCAACCUAUGUUUUAGAGAUUAAAGAAGCACUAACUUGUUGAUUCUAAGAGAGAGCACCUUAGCUAUUAGCUUGUAUAUCAUAGAGCAGCAGGCAAUGGGUUUAAACUCUCUAAUGGUAGUAGGAUUCGGCACUAGAAGAGAACUACAACCACCAAAAUAUCUGACUAAUAAAUGCAUUUAUGAAAGACGAGUAGAGCCAGGGUCGUAUAUCACAAGGGCCUUCAUGAAAAAAUUACUCUAUAUAUAUAAGGGGAAAAGUAUAUUUUUAUGUAUAUAUAGUAGAUAUUGAAUCCCUUGAUUUCUUUCAUGUGUUUACCUAUUUAUAUUCAGAACUCCUUUAGUGAAAGUCCGACUUCUCCACUGAUGAUAGACCACAUUCAAGUGCUGGGUAAGUGAAAAUGACAAUACUUUUAGCUUUAGAAACUGAUUGUGAUAGAACUUACCUUAAAACCUAAGAUUGUAGAGUUUCUAUCAGUUCAUAAAGUUAAUAUCAUAUACUCUAGAUAAUGACUAUAGGAUGAGCAGUUUCUAAGGCUGUAAUCAUUGAAAAUGACAAAUCAAAUAGCUGACCUUUUAACCCUCUAAAGUCCAAUGUGUUUAAUUUUCUUGUUCAAGAUGUGGUGUGAAUGUUGACAUCAAUAAUUAUUUUCCUAGUUUCCAACAUGUGUAUCUUGUGAGGUCCCUCUAGUUAGUACAAAUGAGUUUUGCAAUUAGCUGUUAGAUUACUCCACACCACAUUUUAAAGACACCAAAAAAUGUCUGGCACUUUACUAGAUUGAAUCCAAUCACAACACACACAGAGAGUAUUGUUAACUUUGUUUCUACAUUUUUAUCCAUUCAAGAUUGUAUUUUUAUGCUAUUUUUUGUCCUAAAUUACGAUCAUAUGUACAACCAAAAAAUCAGGCUGACUUAUGCUCUCUGAAGAGUUAAGUUUCAUCAUUUUAAUUUAGAUAGCUUUAAGACUCCAUACAUCCAGCAUUAUAUUCUUGAGAUGUAAGUUGCGCGUGCAUGAAACCUUAGGCUAAAUUUUUUUUAAAAAAAUGUAAGUUUCCAACAUUUGAUCAUUGACUAUAUCUUCUAUUCCAGGCCAAUAUCUGAUAUUUCGAGUGAUCUUACUAUAGAAGUCGGAUCAGCCAGUUUUGCUCUUCAUAAGUUCCCUCUGGUUUUGCAAAGUGGAAGAAUUAGAAAGCUGCUACUUGAGACGAAGGAUACAAAGGUUUCAAGAAUCUAUCUUACUAGUCUUCCUGGAGGAUCUGAUGCAUUUGAACUUGCUGCAAAGUUCUGCUAUGGAGUGAACGUUAAGAUUACCAUAUCAAAUGUGGUGUUACUCAGAUGUACAACCAGGUUCAUGGAAAUGAUAGAAGAUAUCUCCGAGAAAAACCUGGAAAUUCGUACUGAGGUAUUCUUUAAGGAUGUGGUAUUUCCAAACAUAUCCAACUCGAUAUCUGUUCUUUAUCGCUGUGAAACAUUACAAUCGGUAUCUAAAGAAGUCAAUCUUGUUAGCCAGUUAAUAAACACAAUUGUAAACAAUGCCUGUAAAGAGCAGCUAACAUCUGGUUUUUCAAAGCUAGAGUAUAAUUUUCCACCCA